rnacentral:rRNA from 1 species
ACUCCUACGGGAGGCAGCAGGCGCGAAAACUUUACAAUGCCGGCAACGGCGAUAAGGGGACCUCGAGUGCCAGGUUACAAAUCUGGCUGUCGUGAUGCCUAAAAAGCAUUGCAUAGCAAGGGCCGGGCAAGACCGGUGCCAGCCGCCGCGGUAACACUGGCGGCUCGAGUGGUAACCGUUAUUAUUGGGUCUAAAGGGUCUGUAGCCGGCCGGAUAAGUCUCUUGAGAAAUCCAGCAGCUCAACUGUUGGGCUUUCAGGAGAUACUGUUCGGCUCGAGGCCGGGAGAGGUGAGAGGUACUUCAGGGGUAGGGGUGAAAUCUUGUAAUCCUUGAAGGACCACCAGUGGCGAAGGCGUCUCACCAGAACGGACCUGACGGCAAGGGACGAAAGCUAGGGGCACGAACCGGAUUAGAUACCCGGGUAGUCCUAGCCGUAAACGAUACUCGCUAGGUGUCGGCCACGGUGCGACCGUUGUCGGUGCCGUAGGGAAGCCGUGAAGCGAGCCACCUGGGAAGUACGGCCGCAAGGCUGAAACUUAAAGGAAUUGACGG